rnacentral:lncRNA from 1 species
CAGGAAAUGGGGGGAUACAAAUAAGGGAAUAAAAGCUGGCCACCCCAGCCCGCUGCAGCAACCCACUUGGGUCCCCUUCCAUGCUGUGGAAGCUUUGUUCUUUCGCUGUUCACAAUAAAUCUUGCUGCUGCUCACUCUUUGGGUCCAUGCCAUCUUUAAGAGCUGAAACACUCACUGCGAUGGUCCACGGCUCCAUUCUUGAAGUCAGCAAGACCACGAACCCACUGGAAGAAACCAACUCCAGACACACCAGGUUCAACUGAUUAUCCUGCCUCAGCCUCUUGAGUAGCUGGGACUACAGGAGCAGAUGAUGCUCAAAAGAACAAAUCAGGAAAGAGGAAAGAAUAAAAGGGAGACUGUCCCAACGCGUCCCGCAGCCCACCCUGCCUCGAAACUCCCUGCGGUGAUGUCGGGGCUAGAGGAAUCCAGGGCUUGGUCCCUGCAGCUGAGGCCUACGGGAUAUCCCAGGAAAGAGCAGCCUCUCCGUAGUGGUGAAGAGUCUCUCAAGCCUUAGCGCUCUGGUGACCUCCGCGGGAUUCUGAGAAAAGCACUGCGGAACGGCGGGAGCGGGCCCUGCUGCUUGCUUCGCGCCCCCCACCCGCCCGGGGACCGCGACUAAGUCCCCGACGCAGCUCUUCCCUUUUCCUGAAUACCCUGGGACUCUGCUCCCGAGUUCCAGCUCCGAGGACUCAAAGACAGUCUCCGUUCCUCACUCUUCAAAGACCACCUCCUUUUCUAGAGGUGGGCUCCCCGACCUUGCGCUUCUAGAGCUGCAGGAGCGGCGCUGCACAGGUCUGACAAGCCCAGCUCAUUGGCGGGUAUCUGAGCCAUCAGUCUGAAAGACAUUUGGGGAAAAUUCAUAGAACAUAGAAAUUCAUAUUAUACAUAUUCAUAUUAUACAUUCAUAUUAUACAUUGUGUAUAUUAUAUAAUAUAUAUAUAGUCCAUAAA